rnacentral:lncRNA from 12 species
CUGGUUUCAUUCCAUUUUAGAAAUAUAUGGAAGAGAGGAAAAAAAUUUCAACAGCCUACUUCAAGAAAACCAAAAAGUGGGCUGGAGAGGACAGAAUUCGGAGAGGACAGACACCUAGGUCAUUUGAUGCCAAAUUGCAGGCAAAUCGCUUUAGGAGAUACAGUCUGUUGGAGAAGAUAGAAAAAUAGGAACGGAAACUGGAGUAAUUUGCAGUGGUAAGAUACUUUUAAUCUCUCUUUGCUGACCUUCAGGUAGGAAGGUUCUUUACUGACAGGUCUAUCA